UGCCUCCUGGUGCUUACUAUAGGCUGUGUUCUUAUACUGACUGUACAAAAAGAGGAAGCAGAAUAAACCCACCCCUUAUAUACCUCAGCCUAGGCCCUUUGUCUGGUCUGUAUUGUGACUGGAAGGAGGGCAUGG